GAUGAAGAACGUAGCGAAAUGCGAUAAGUAAUGUGAAUUGCAGAAUUCAGUGAAUCAUCGAAUCUUUGAACGCACCUUGCGCUCUCUGGUAUUCCGGAGAGCAUGCCUGUUUGAGUAUCAUGAAAUCUCAACCAUUAGGGUUUCUUAAUGGCUUGGAUUUGGGCGUUGCCAGUUGCCUGGCUCGCCUUAAAAGAGUUAGCGUGUUUAACUUGUCAUAUCUGGCGUAAUAAGUUUCGCUGGUGUACGACUUGAGAAGUGCGCUUCUAAUCGUCCUCGGACAAUUCUUGAACUCUGGUCUCAAAUCAGGUAGGACUACCCGCUGAACUUAAGCAUAUCAAUAGCGGAGGA
rnacentral:misc_RNA from 1 species